GACGAACGCUGGCGGCGUGCUUAACACAUGCAAGUCGAGCGGUAAGGCCUUUCGGGGUACAUGAGCGGCGAACGGGUGAGUAACACGUGGGUGAUCUGCCCUGCACUUCGGGAUAAGCCAGGGAAACUGGGGCUAAUACAGGAUAUGACCUCCUAUAGCAUGGUGGGUGGUGGAAAGACUUAUCGGUGCAGGAUGGGCUCGCGGCUUAUCAGCUUGUUGGUGGGGUAAUGGCAUACCAAGGCGACGACGGGUAGCCCACCUGAGAGCGUGACCGGCCACACGGGGACUGAGGGACGCACCAGACUGGUACGUUGGGCAGCGGUGGGGAGUAUUGCCCAAUGGUGGAAAGCGUGAUGCAGCGGCGCCGCGGUAGUGAUGACGGUCUUCGGGUAGUGAACCUCUUUCAGCAGGGACGGUGGGCGAGUGACGGUACCUGCAGAAGAAGCACCGGCUAACUACGUG
rnacentral:rRNA from 1 species